rnacentral:rRNA from 1 species
AUUGAACGCUGGCGGCAGGCCUAACACAUGCAAGUCGAACGGUAACAGGAAGCAGCUUGCUGCUUUGCUGACGAGUGGCGGACGGGUGAGUAAUGUCUGGGAAACUGCCUGAUGGAGGGGGAUAACUACUGGAAACGGUAGCUAAUACCGCAUAACGUCGCAAGACCAAAGAGGGGGACCUUAGGGCCUCUUGCCAUCGGAUGUGCCCAGAUGGGAUUAGCUAGUAGGUGGGGUAACGGCUCACCUAGGCGACGAUCCCUAGCUGGUCUGAGAGGAUGACCAGCCACACUGGAACUGAGACACGGUCCAGACUCCUACGGGAGGCAGCAGUGGGGAAUAUUGCACAAUGGGCGCAAGCCUGAUGCAGCCAUGCCGCGUGUAUGAAGAAGGCCUUCGGGUUGUAAAGUACUUUCAGCGGGGAGGAAGGGAGUAACGUUAAUACCUUAGCUCAUUGACGUUACCCGCAGAAGAAGCACCGGCUAACUCCGUG